UACAGAGGGUGCGAGCGUUGUUCGGAAUUACUGGGCGUAAAGCGCGCGCAGGCGGCUCUUUAAGUCUGACGGUGAAAUGCCGGGGCUCAACCCCGUGCCCGCCGGAGAUACUGGGGAGCUGGAGACGAGUAGAGGCAAGCGGAAUUCCGGGUGUAGCGGAUGGAAUGCGUAGAGAUCCGGAAGAACACCGGAGGCGAAGGCG
rnacentral:rRNA from 1 species